AUCUUUGCGCUUGGGGCAAUGACGCAGCUUGUGAGGUACUAACCGAGGCGCGUCAAUUGCUGGUUGAAAACUAUUUCCAAACCCCCUCUUCGGCCUGGGUUCACAUCCCUGGCCGUCGAGAAUUUCUGGAAGGGCCCCCUCUAACCCAGGGUUAAAGCC